GGGAAUCAUUCCUCGUCAUUGACGCCUCGCCGUUCUUCAACAACUUUAGGGUUCCAAAUUGAACUUCAAAUCAGUUGAAUUAACUCCAAACAAUGGCUUCGCAUAAUGAAGAUGCAGGAAAUGUAAUACCCCAGCUUAAUGAAGAGCCUAAUGAUGAAUCUAAGAUGUGGAGGCUCACUAAAAUUAGAGACUCAUUGCAAUGCCAGUCCCUGAAGCUUCCUGAAAAUCUUGGAGUGACUAAGAUAUCAAGUUUAAUAUAUACGAGCUCUGGUAAUUGUAUCUUAGCAUUAGCCUCAAAUGCUAUUCACCUGCUUUGGAAGUGGCAAGGAA
rnacentral:misc_RNA from 1 species